rnacentral:lncRNA from 1 species
CGGGCCGCAUCCGUUGCUUGGUUACGGCUUUCUCCUGCAGCCUGCCGGGUGCGGUUCUCCCGGCUGCUGUUUUGGCCUGGGGCUGCCGGGCGCGCUCAUGCCACCCGCUGGCGUCGGCCAAAGGAGAGGAGCCGGAGCCAGAUGGCUCGGUCCUCUAACCUCCCUCACGACUCCUCCCGGUGGGACGUGGCCUCAAGCCCCGGGCUGAGCGCUGGACCUCUUAGACCAGGGACAUCCGCAGAGGACACAAAGGUGCCGCGCCUGCGAGGCAGCCUGACCAGUGGAGGACCCAGGAGGAGGAGGGAGUGUGGUGGAGCUGGCCAGCGCUCAGCCACGCAAGCAGAGCCGCGCGAGCUCCGAAGGCCAGCUUCAGCCUGUCUGACGUGGCGCUGUGUGGGUCACUUUGUAAAGCUAACAUUUGUCUUUUGAGAGCCAGGUUCCCAAUCUCUUUAAACACAGGAGAACACAUGGUAAACUUAGUCCUAGGUUCCUAAGGAGAAGCAGCAACCCCAGCCCCAGGAUGACUAGAGCGACAACAUAAUAGAAAGGCCUUGUCAAAAAGAAUAAUAAUAAAAAAAAAUGCAAGAUCUUCACCCUUCAGGCUCCCAAGGGUAGGGAUGGGUUAGAGAGGCAACUGGAUUGGCUAUCUCUCUUCAGCUGUUCUUUCUGUCCUAACGUAGAGUCAGGACUCACUGCCUGUAGGGAGGUUGGUGUCCUGCAGUCAAGUGAAUCUGGCCUCUUGAGUGACACAAGCUCCUGUUUACGGCCCAGUCUGCACCCACACGUCCUGCUUUGUUGACUGACCUCUCUGGGCAUCGGGAGAUCACUGAACAGUCUGAGCAUUGGAAUAGAGUACUUCUAGUGUGUAUGCUGAGGCAACAGACACAAAUUGGGGCUGCCUGUGGCACGCAGGGCCAUGGUGACGCCUGUGCCUAGGGGUGCUUCCACAAUCACCGUGGGUACUCCUGGUUAUGCCUCUUCCCUUU